GGGGGGGGGGGGGGGGGGGCGGAGCGGGGGCGGGGCGGGCGGGGGGGCGCUGGGGGGGGGGGGGGCUCGAGUGGCGAACGGGUGGGUAGCACGUGAGUAACCUGCCCGUGACUUUGGGAUAACUUCAGGAAACUGGGGCUAAUACCGGAUAGGAGCUCCUGCUGCAUGGUGGGGGUUGGAAAGUUUCGGCGGUUGGGGAUGGACUCGCGGCUUAUCAGCUUGUUGGUGGGGUAGUGGCUUACCAAGGCUUUGACGGGUAGCCGGCCUGAGAGGGUGACCGGCCACAUUGGGACUGAGAUACGGCCCAGACUCCUACGGGAGGCAGCAGUGGGGAAUAUUGCACAAUGGGCGGAAGCCUGAUGCAGCAACGCCGCGUGCGGGAUGACGGCCUUCGGGUUGUAAACCGCUUUCGCCUGUGACGAAGCGUGAGUGACGGUAAUGGGUAAAGAAGCACCGGCUAACUACGUG
rnacentral:rRNA from 1 species